rnacentral:misc_RNA from 1 species
AAAGUCGUAACAAGGUUUCCGUAGGUGAACCUGCGGAAGGAUCAUUAACGAGCGACUGGGGCCCCUAGGGGCCCUCUAAACUCUCCACCCUGUGACUAUAUUACCACGUUGCUUCGGCGAGGACGGUGUGCUGAGAUGAAAUAGCGAGAGCUUUUUUUUCUUUCGCAAGUCCGUCGUUCUCGCCGCGGGACCCAAAUCAACACCGUUUUUAUAAGACCAUAGUCUGAGCAUGUUUGUUGUUCCUUAGUUGUUUGCAGCACAGGGACAACGGCAGUAUUUGAAUAGAAAUACAAAACAAAACUUUCAACAACGGAUCUCUUGGUUCCG